AAGACUGUAUUUUCAGAAAUAAUUUCUAUAGUUUUUUACUUGGAAAUGUGUUUUGAAAGUGUUUAUCUCCCAACCCACGAUGAUGAGCUGUAAUGCUUCUUUCUGAGAGUGAAUCAAGAGCAGAACUGUGAAUUUAGUCACAAUCUGUCAUUGAUGAGCGUUCAUUUUGCUUCUGGGAAUAUUGAAGAAAGGAGUAUGAUCUGAGUGGU
rnacentral:snoRNA from 1 species